GAUCCUGGCUCAGGAUGAACGCUAGCUACAGGCUUAACACACGCAAGUCGAGGGGAAACGACAUCGAAAGCUUGCUUUUGAUGGGCGUCGACCGGCGCACGGGUGAGUAACGCGUAUCCAACCUGCCCAUCACUUGGGAAUAACCUUGCGAAAGUAAGACUAAUGCCCAAUGACAUCCCACGAAGGCAUCCGAAUGGGAUUAAAGAUUUAUCGGUGAUGGAUGGGGAUGCGUCUGAUUAG
rnacentral:rRNA from 1 species